rnacentral:rRNA from 1 species
CAUGACAAGGUUGUAGCUGGCCCUAUCCGGGCAUGUGCACGCCUUGCUCAUUCCAAUUCUACACCUCUGUGCACUUAACAUGGGUUGGUCGCGGCUCCGUCUCUCGGGAUGAGCUUGACCGCCUGUGGUUCUCUACAAACACUUAUAGUAUCAGAAUGUCAAUAGCGUAUUAUAACGCAUCUUAUACAACUUUCAGCAACGGAUCUCUUGGCUCUCGCAUCGAUGAAGAACGCAGCGAAAUGCGAUAAGUAAUGUGAAUUGCAGAAUUCAGUGAAUCAUCGAAUCUUUGAACGCACCUUGCGCUCCUUGGUAUUCCGAGGAGCAUGCCUGUUUGAGUGUCAUGGUAUUCUCAAUUCCCUAAAUCUUUGCGGAUAUAGGUGAAUUGGAUGUGGAGGUGAUUGCUGGCGUGCAUGAAACAUGGCGUGUCGGCUCCUCUGAAAUAAAUUAGCCGGGAAUGUUGCCGUGCCAACCUCAGUGUGAUAAUUGUCUACGCUGUUGUUGCUCAGCAAAGUAUAUGUUCUCGCUUCUAAUUGUCUUCCGACAACUUUUUUGACAUCUGACCUCAAAUCAGGUAGGACUACCCGCUGAACUUAAGCAUAUCAAUA